rnacentral:lncRNA from 1 species
CAAUCAGAUCAGCCAAAUCUAUUGAUUUCUCUAGGCAUAAAUGGAUCACAUAUCAACUGGGAAUAAUGUGAUUAUGAGAACAGUUACUGUAAGGAAUUUUUGAAUGUGAGGUUGAUAGAGAAAGAAACUAUGUUGUGAGAGAAGUCGCAAUUUCGUACAAGGAUAAUAUAAAUACAAACAAAGCAUGGAUCAUCACGAAAAA